rnacentral:ncRNA from 1 species
GAGAGCCGAAUGCGCUGAGAGGUGCAAGUCCGGUUCGGGAAAGAGAGAUGGGGAAAUAGUCCGACUACGCCCUAAAAAAGAGUUAAUCUACCUCAAC